CUAUUACUCCCUCCAUUCCACAAUACAUGGCUUCCAUUUGUCAAAAUAUAGAUGUAUCUAGACAUGUUUUAGUAUAUAGGUACAUCCAUUUUUGAACAAAUGGAAGUCAAGUAUUUUGGAACGGAGGGAGUACAUC
rfam:Triticum aestivum genome assembly, contig: Triticum_aestivum_CS42_TGACv1_scaffold_456726_5DS